rnacentral:tRNA from 1 species
UCCGUUGUAAUCUAAUUGGUUAGUAUACUUGGCUCUCACCAGAGAGACCCGGGUCCAAAUCCCGGCAACGGAA